CAAAUUCUCUUGACUAUACAUAUAUGUAGUAUAUUUGUAAAUAUGACAAAUGAUUUACAAAUCUCACAAAAGUCAGUUACACAAAUUUAAUUCUAUGUAUGUAGACUUAGCAUGUCUAUUUGAAGCGUUUGAAUAACUGGUCAAUUUCUUUCACCGCACCAGACGGAACUACAUAUUGUCUACCAGUUGAUGUGAUUGGUGCAUCUAUGAUCUUUAUGAUGUGUAUCAGUGGAACCCAACAGAUAUCUUCUCUUCUGGGCCAACUGUAAGACUUUGCAGGACCAUGAGGGUGCAUAAAUUGUACUUGCCCACCUGUUCCUCCUCCGAUAUUGCACAGAUAUUACCAAUCCACCAUUGCUGGUCAUACAAACAUGCAACAUAUUUUCCUGGGAUCAUGUCUGACAGGGUGUAACCUCCUUUCACAGCAUCAUCUACAACCUGGGGAUGAGUGCCACUCAUGUCCACAAUGAAGCUUGGUCCACCAGACACUCUGCUGAUCUGCAACUGGCUCUCUGAGAUAGGAACAAAUGAGUGGUUGUCCCUUGUUCCUGGUAUUGUUGAGGACUUUGAAAGUCUCUUCUGAAGAACUUUUCCAUUGCUUGUUACUUCCCCCUUUUCAAUCCAAAUGAAAUGGAUGUUUAUGUUUUUUUUCUGCCCACACAGAGAUCUCGUGGUGUCAGUAUGUGUUGUGAAGUAACUGCCUGUAAGCUGGCUCUAGCUGCAGAACGCUUCACGGUGCCACCUAUCCUGUCACAAGGUGAUUUUCCAUAGGGAGUAACAAAAAAGUGCCAUUCAGCUGUCAUACCCAAGUCUUCCUGGUGAUGCAACAGAUUUGUACAGUUUUUGUGGUUUUUGUACUGGGCAGCUGAUCCAUCACUAAAGUAUACAAGUUUAGAAAUUUGGGGACUGAGUUGUUGAAUGUAUGGAAUCACUGCUUUUAGGAAUGUGUGAAUGGCUACAGUAUCAUGCUUCAGGCAGUCACUUAUGACACGUAGAUAUGAAUGUUGUUUCAUAUGUCCCAUCAUCUCUGCUCUUCAUGUAAACAGCAAAUGGAUGAAGGGUGCACUGGCUGUUGUUCCAGUGGUACCCCUGCGCUGCAUCCUGUACCAAGAAAGAGUAGUUCUCAGCGAAAUCCAAAAGUACAAUGAUGUAGCAUGUGAUGUAACCUUGUGAAUGGCAUUUUCGCAUGUCGUAAAACCUUCUAUAUUCAACAGCUUGAAUGAAAGUUUUCUUCACAGCAGGGUCAUUCCAUGCCAAAUCAACAAGAGGUUAUGCUCAACCAUCUCAGAUUUCAAUGAAAUUUGGAGGGCUCAGAGAUGCUAUUAAAAGAAGUUAAUCCCCAAAACUUGAGCUUCCUAUCUCCAACGGUUUCAGAGAUACAGGCAAAUUCGAAUUUUUUAUAUUUUUUCAUAUAACUGAUAUUUGAGGGUUAAUAAAUGCUUCAAUAAGGCUCAAGUAGGUUAGGAGACAUGUUUCUUCCUCAAUUUUAAAUAAAAUUUCAAUUAAUGCUCAGUAUUAUUUGUAAAUUGAUUUUAAUCUAAGACUUUGUAACAUUAGCAAUCAAUGACCAGCUAUUGUGUACCAGUCAACAGCCAGCCUUAUCAAUAUCAACACAGCACAAUAGGUGACCUUUGAUACCAGAACAGGUGGCUCAUAUCUUAUAGUUUUAGAGUCUGUAAACUGCAUACUUGUUCAGAUAACAUUAUAUUGCUUGGAUUAUAUUAAAUACAUUGUAAUACAGAGCACUGAGAAAAAUUACCAAUGAUAACUGAAUGUGUUUCUUUGCAAGGAUUGGAUAUUUUGAAUAGUUGACUAGGGAAAUUAAUUGUAGUUGCUUUCAAUUUGAGGUCAGUAUAAAUGAGUUUGUUCUUAGACAUCUAGAAAUGGCUGAACUUCCUCCCUGUUCUAUAGGAAUUGGACUAAAGAAAGAUUCUGACUGCCAUAAACUAACAUACAACAGAAAUUCUUAAAUACACUCUCUCAGUUUGGAGCAAAUACAUUAUUAUGAUCCAGAAUUGUGUUAAAGUCUCCUCCGAUUACGAUACCAGUGUUUGGAAACUUAUUCAGAGUAUAUUCAGUGUGAGUCUCUCGCACUUCAAGCAACUUAUUAUUCUCAGAUUUUGAGUUUUAGCCAAAAUAUUCACAAUUAAAAAAGUAAACCUUUCAAUGCGAAUAACCUGGUAAAGAAAAUGUCCUGCUGUGUCACAGUCUGUAGAAUACUACCAGAGAAAGUAUAUUUUAGCGUGUCAACCCCAGCAGUGUGUUCAGGUCCAUGAGCCAGCCAGAGAUCGUUACCCCACUGGGCCCUCCAUAAUCUUACAUCACUGGAAACUGAGUGUGACUUGAAUAAAACAAGUCAGUUUUAUGCUGUUUUGAGACAAAAAAAAAUUGCAUUAUGCUUUGCAAUAUUUCUUAACUCCCUGGCAUUGAGAGUAAUAUCAGACAAGAACGUAUUAACAACAACAAUAAUAAAAUGAGAAUAGAAUAAGUUCAGAAGAAAACAGAAUACGGGAACCCACUGUCAAGGGCUGCACCAUUCAAAUUUUUAUGAAGUAUCUUUGUUAAACAUAAAUUAACCACAGUUCCUUAAGUUUUCUAUUGCAAAUCCAACCUGCAUCAGGUAUUAAUCACUCAAAACAAUUAACCAAAGUCAGUGACAUUGAACUGAGGCUUUGUGUAAGAAGAAAAUAAAAAAUAAAACCCCCAGCUCUAUCAACAUAAAUUCACCUGAGCAGUUUGUGCUGAUCAGACUUACCGGGUGGUGACCCAUGCUAUGAAAGAAACAAACUCAACAGUAUAUUAACUAUUUAAAGCAUCAUGGUCAGUGAGACUUAUACAGUCAUGGUAGAUGUUCAUCAGGCCUCAGGUAGCUGGAGUCAGUUCAGUCCCGUUGACAAAGGCCCAACCACCAAUGAAGUAUGCCGUUUCCCUUCUUGGUGUCUCUUGGCCACCAAGGGCCAGAGCUGCCAUCGUCUCUCUCUCUGGCAGUCUGGGACAGGUCCUCAGCAAAACAGUUUGUUGUUUUGGAGGAGAGAUUUUUUUUUUCCUGUUUUCCAGACUGCAUGUGUGAGGUGAACUGGAGGAUAAUCGCUCGAGGUUUGGAGUCGUCUUUCCAUUGGCUGACCGAGCCGAUGUACUGUGUUGAUAACCUCAGGAAACUUGGCCUGGUACUCAGCUUACACACAAGAGGAAAUAUUCACCUAUGUGGAACAUUUUGAAAUGGUUCCUCCCAAUGAGGUGAAGUGCUUGCUGUGCCAGAAGGAACGAGUGGAGAACAAGAAUAUAUCAUCAGUGCUGAGGCAUUAUAGAGCUUUUCAUGAGAAUCAGCAGCCUGCCAACAGACCAGACACAAGCGACAAUUCCAGAAAAACAAAUGAUGGAUGAGGCCUUGGUUAAUAUGAUAAUUCCAGACACCCAGCCAUUGUCAGUGGUGGAAGAUGUGGGUUUGAUGGAGCUCAUGCACAUACUGGAACCCACUGAUCUUCUCCCUACUAGGAGGAUGUCAGAAUGUAGUGACAGUCAGCCUCACCUCUGAUAUCUGGACAUCCAUGAAUAUGGAGACUUACCUUCCAGUAACCUGCCACUUCAUUGAUGACAAUGACAGACUUGGAACAAUUUUGCUUGGAGCAGAACAUUUUCCAAGUCGUCACACAGCAGAAAAUAUGGCUCUGGCAAAAGCAAAAUUGAUGGAGGAGUGGGACAUAAAAGAAAAGGUGAAGUGUCUCCUCACUGAUGCUGCACCAAAUAUGACAAGCUUGUGCCAAGGCAUUGUCUGUGAGACAUUCUGUUUGCAUCACACACACUUAAUAAUAGUGCAAAAGUCAUUUGACCAUGUCCCAGCCCUUAAAGGUGGAGUAUGAGAUUUUUUUCAGGAGUAUUUUUUUUACCAUAUUGCUUGAAAAGCUCCUCACACCCAUGUUGCAAGCAGUACAAUAGAAGGUUUGACCCAAAAACGAAAUAUUUUAAUCCAGUCUACAGUGUAAAAUAAAGGAAAAAUGCCAUCCAAUCAUAUCGAGGUACCACCUCAAAAUGAUUGGAUACUGACACGUAAAUCAGACUGAAGCCCGAGCAGCCCGGCCCUUCUGUGUGUGUGUGUGUGUGUGUGUGUGUGUGUGUGUGAGAGAGAGAGCGAGCAGUGUCCCACAAAAAGCACAGGAUUCUCUCAGUGCGCUUCCUCCAAACAACGGGGAUUUACACGAAAACGGAAGGAGAUAUUCACAAAAUUCUUUCACAGUGAGUGCCACAAGGCUUUCCUGAACACACUGAUGUAAUUUUUUUUGUCUGUAGUGUAAAAAAUGAGGUCACUAGAGCGAGUUAAAAACGAGUGACUUUUCCGGCAAGUUUUAUAAUGGAAGUCUAUGAGCUGGGGCUGUGCUCUCCUCACUUUCAGGCUUCUCAUUCAAAAACUGCAAGUCCUAUCGUGUAGGUAGACACAUUGUGUGAAUCAGGACAAGUGUGGCUACUACUUUUGAGAAAAUUGUGUGUGGAGUGAAAAUUGGGGCUGAAAACACAGUUUAAAUGAGAAAGUUUGGGCUAUUUUUCCAAGCUCUCUACACUCUGCUCUAAGGGGGAGGAGGGGUGGAGACG